rnacentral:rRNA from 1 species
GAUGAACGCUGGCGGCGUGCCUAAUACAUGCAAGUCGAGCGAACAGACGAGGAGCUUGCUCCUCUGACGUUAGCGGCGGACGGGUGAGUAACACGUGGAUAACCUACCUAUAAGACUGGGAUAACCUCGGGAAACCGGAGCUAAUACCGGAUAAUAUAUUGAACCGCAGGGUUCAAUAGUGAAAGACGGUGUUGCUGUCACGUAUAGAUGGAUCCGCGCCGCAUUAGCUAGUUGGUAAGGUAACGGCUUACCAAGGCAACGAUGCGUAGCCGACCUGAGAGGGUGAUCGGCGACCCUGGAGCUGGGACAGCGUCCAGGCUCCUACGAGAGGCAGCAGUAGCCAAUGUUCCGCAGUGGGCGAAAGCCUGGCGCAGCAGCGGCGAGUGAGUGACGGAGGUCUUCGGAUCGUAAUGCUCUGUUUUUAGGGAAGAACAAAUGUGUAAGUAGCUGUGCACGUCUUGACGGUACCUAGUCAGAAAGCCACGGCUAACUACGUG